UCGAGAAUCUUCCACAAUGCGCGAAAGCGUGAUGGAGCGAUGCCGCGUGCAGGAUGAAGGCCUUCGGGUUGUAAACUGCUGUCACAGGGGACGAAUAAUGACGGUACUCUGGGAGGAAGCCACGGCUAACUACGUGCCAGCAGCCGCGGUAAUACGUAGGUGGCGAGCGUUGUUCGGAUUUAUUGGGCGUAAAGGGUCCGCAGGGGGCUAAUUAAGUCUGGUGUGAAAUCUCCCGGCUCAACCGGGAAACUGCAUUGGAAACUGAUUAGCUAGAGCAUCGGAGAGGAGAAUGGAAUUCCUGGAGUAGCGGUAAAAUGCGUAGAUAUCAGGAGGAACAUCAAAAGCGAAGGCAGUUCUCUGGACGAUAGCUGACCCUCAGGGACGAAAGCGUGGGUAGCAAACAGG
rnacentral:rRNA from 1 species